CCCGUCGUAGAGGCACCCUGGCCCAUGUAAGAAGGCCACGGUGGAAGCGCCUCAUCUGAGCAAGCAACCAUGGUUCUGAAUGUCCAUAUUGAUUUUGAAUUUGGGUAGCAGGGGCAUUUACUUUGUCGAGGAGGAAAAUUCAGAAGGUAUUGAAUCCUCUUUUACAUGUUUGGUCACAAUAAAACUCCAUUCUGAAUUGACUUAUGAUUUCAAAUGCCCUGCAGGAUGCAGCGGAAGAUGUCCUGCAAGAAUACCAAAAAGGCUGCAGGCUGUUAGCCCAAAACUACUCGCUAGCACUCGAGUAUACUGAUAGAUGACUGGUGAAAGAGCAAAGUGAUGGUACGCUCAGGCACUCUAGGCUAGUACACAGACACACACUAGUGAAGCAUGCACCGAUGGAGCUACACUUGAGAAAAGAUACUACUUGAAUUAAUCGGAGUGGAAUGAAUUUUACAACCGGGGUGCAGCUCCUUUUAUAGGUAGCUGAACCGACUAACUAUACGUAUGAGCUUACGUCAAGCUCCUAGAUUACAUCACCACUGACGACUUACU
rnacentral:lncRNA from 1 species